UCCUCCAAAUGUCUGUGACUACACAUGUGACCUCUCCGUGUGAAACUGAAGAGACUUCUCAUGGGCUCUGAAGUAGCACUUUGCAGCCUCCACAACAACAGAAUAGAUAUACUGACAGCAGGAUUAGAGCAGGAGAUGGGAUAAUCUCAAAACCAUGUGUUUCUCUAGCUGAAACACAGUUACAAAUACAUAAUUUCUUCUAUUCAACUGAGGGUGAAUGCAGAAUUUUAGGCUUGCAAAGAAAGGAACAAGUGAAAUGACACGAAUUUAUCUUGAAAGAAAAUAGAAGUAGGAGAAGGCAUGAAAAGGGGACAGUGAACCUUCUUGCAUGGAUGUGAGCUGCAACAGCAUCUCUGAGCACAAGCAGGCAGCAGAAGGAGACGCAGGCAGCUUUUGGCCCAGUUCUUGAGUAAAGCACAUCACAUCAGCACCACUGAGCUAAGGCCAGGCAAGCAGCAGACAACCUGCAGCUAUCUCCACGUGUCACACAGGAU
rnacentral:lncRNA from 1 species